rnacentral:rRNA from 1 species
UCUGGUUCAGGGUUGUUUAUAUCUACUACAGUGUAGCUUGUGGCACUGUUUGUCGAACGGCACUUGCUUAUUAGCGAUUCCCGUUCUAGAUCAGAAUAUAUUGCAACAUGUACGUUAGCUGGCUAGUUUGCUAACGUGCACUGAAUGACAGCAAACUCGUUGUUGCUGCUGAAUCGUUUACCGACUAUAGAAACGUUUUUGGCAGUGGCUAGUAUGACAACGGGCUGUUUCUGUUAUUUGCAAUGCAACCUGAGCUCAGGCGUGACUACCCGCUGAACUUAAGCAUAUCAUUUAGCGGAGGAAAGAAACUAAAU